AAAUAAUUAGACAAAACAGGCAAGACACCGAACCAUCAAUGUUUAAUUUCUUGACUAUUGCUAUGGUGUUUAAAUUCUUGACUAUUGUUAUGAUCAAAUACAGUUUCGUUAUCACCAAUCAAACAAACCAACAGUUAUGGUUAUGUAGCCACUAUUACAACCAGUUACAAAGUCAGUGGAGCAGAGCUCCAGGCACGAGAUGACGAUGUCAUGUGUAACACGGAUCCAGAGACAUCACCAAGAUCAUUUCCCCAGAAAGCAGAGACAUAUUCACUACAUGCAGACAGGAAUCAGGAGCUGCUUGAUAAUCUCGCAACCUUGGCUCAUCUCAUCUCACUCACCACACAGGAGAUAGGCACCAUAGACUGACAGGUCGGAUCAGGCAACGCACCUGUCUCCUAUUAAGGCUUCAGCGGAGAUGGAGAUCUCAGUGAUUACCACCGACAAGUUCCCGCAAUCACUUCAAUCUCGUGCACAUAGUCCAUCAGCGUUUGCUUCACUACCGGCGGGCAAUCAAGAGAGCAAGAUGCAACAUUUUCUUCUGACAAAGCUUGUGUGGGUUUUUCAACAUUUUAAUAUUUGCCAUCUUUUCGCCAGACACCAUGACACGGGCGAUGCUAAAAUCAUCCCCCUUUUCCAGUGCAAACUGCCAUUCCCUCGCUGUGAUGUAGAACCAGUUUUUGUUUGAAGUUGUGGUUGCCUUCACCUCCACAUACUCUAUCCGAUUAUCUCCGCGGGUGAUGAUAAUAUCAUAGGGCAGUCCGGUUUCAGUGUCUGCAUUCACCCACCUGACGUUCUUGGCCCCUAGCCGCUCAACCAAAUGUUUGUAGGCUACAGCUUCACCAACCCUGCCAGUUUUUAGUAACUGGGCUGCGCGGAGCCUUUCCCUGCCUUCUGAAGUAUUGGGCAUUUUGUCACUGAAAUCCAUUACCUCAGUCUCGCUAGGUGAACCGGUCCCCAGGUCCAAAUAAGCAGGUGCACCGUCCGCGUUAAUGGACAUCACCAUCUGAGGCUCGUCCAAUGUUGCCACUGUGCUUUCUGUGUGUAAGUUACUUUCUAGACUCGUAUCCUCUUCUAUAACCCAAUCCUCGUCGAGCUGAACAGGAAACCAAUUAUCUUCUGUAUUUGUGAGCUCAACAUCAUUCACCUCUGUAUCUUGCAGGGGUCCAGGAAGCCAAUUAUCAUUAUUCACCUUUGUAUCUUGCAGGGGUCCAUGCUGACUUCUGCGGGAUGUUCUAAAAUCAGGAGCUGUUCUCCAAUUAUUAGGUGGCCAACUUGAAACAGUUCCGUCUGACCUCUGAUGUUGUUUGUGAAUAUUGAGAACACAGGCAGAUGAGGUUUCAACCGGUUUGGAAUCAACACCUUGGUCGGGUACAAACUCUGGCACAAACGAGGAAGAAAAGGACCAAACCGCUUCCUCUUCAGGCAACGCAGGCACAUUCUGAUUAUUAACGACAAAAGACUCAACCUGUUCAGCUGAGGUGCCAGAUAUGGCCAUGGUUUUGACCAUGUGCAGAAAAUUCGCAAAGUGCAGAUCAGGGGAUCCAUCAAAGAAAAUUCUAGAAGUUUCCAGAAACAAUGAAUGUGAAUCAGCUUCUUGCGUAGCAUACAGAAUAUUUCCCUGAAAACAAAUAACAGAUCAAAUCAAAUGAACUUUAAAGCUCAUGGCAGAUGACAUAACAGAGCAAAACCUUAAAUCAUCAAGUGCAUCAAGCAUUCAAGCAAUGCCGUUGCAGGAACUUCUAAAGGUCUUAAUUUUGCAUAGUCAACAAAAUGUAAUAAGGUCGAUACAUGGUAGUACAUUACACUUAAUUUAACUAUUUAUCAGGUAUAAGUAGCAACCAAAGUUAGAGAUCGCCAGUUAUAGCAUUAUUCGGAUGCAAAAGUGCAUCGGUAUAUUCAGUGGCACAUCACUAUAUCCUUCAGCGGUGUCAUAGGAGGGACCCGAGAAUAAACCAUCUAACUAAGCAAGCAAUAGUCCAUCGUAAUUACCUAACAAAUAUGCAGUUACUAUUCGGAAACAAAAGAUUAGCAAGGAGGUAAUCACUCACACUAGUUACCAUAAAGGCGGAACAGAAACAUAGGUACCAACCUGCAGAAGACAAUGGCAUUUGAAUCUUUUCUUAGAAGAACUCUCAUGUCCUUUAAGCAUAUACUUGUGGAACAACUUUUCAACAACAAUAAUCUGAAGAUUGCUAAGCUUCAUGAUCUCAUUUUGCUGAAAGUUGAUAUAUGCAUCUCUAUGCGUCUUAUAGAUGUAGCGUUGCAUAUAUGGUAACAGUCCACAAAGCAAAGUAGCCUUUUCCCUGUUGUCAGCCGUGCCAUAGAAUAUUGCUUCACGAUGCACAACCUAUACAAAAGCAACAAAAGUGAAUGAGAACAAUACUUAAGAUGGACACAAAUUCAGGAUAUGCCACUCAAUAAACCAAAGUUCUGAAAAAAUAACCUAAACUUAAUAUGCAGCUCGUGCAGUUGCGGAAAUGGUAAAUAAAGUACUAUAUACUUUAAAAAUAUGACAUGUACAUAUCAAGUAUGUUACUACAAUUUACAGCAUAUAACCUUCAAAUGCUGCUAGCCUAUUACUAGCAGAUAUGAGUGAAGUCAUAAUGUGACCCUUGUAGUCAAUUUUGAUGACUGUGAUGAAGACAUCAGCCCCAGCAAGGCUAUAAAGAACUAGUAUGUGUAUAAUGUGGAAGUGGUGGAAAGUUGAGUAACUUUUUCUAGUUAAAAAUAAAGAAAAGGAAAGAAGCACGUGUGACCUGUAGCCAUUUCCCUAUAACAAAAAUGUACAGUUUUACCAAAUUUCUCGUCAAUUAUUCUAUUAUAGAUGGAAUCAUAGGAUGGAGCUUUCAGAAUUUUACGUUUAGGAACUUGUGGGAAAUUCCAAUUGACUUUGCAGUUUCAACAGCAUGACACACACCAUUACAACACCUUCCACCCUCAUUUCUCGCUGCUGCCACUUGCAGGAUGGGUAGUGGUUCCAGUGGAUGGUAGAAAUUAACAUUGUGAAGCACAUGAAAAAUUCACUUCUACCAUAAAGAAUUGCUUCCACCGAUCAGCCAUUCUCUGCGUGAAGGGUGGCUUUGCUUGACUCCCGUGUCGCUCUCGCGGGCGUCUCGGGAGAAACCCCAGCCGCCGCCGACAGCCACCCUCGCCUCCCCCCUCCUCCUCCCGCCGCCGCCGGAGGGCGUCCCUGGGCAAAGCCCUCGGCGCCGGCGCCGGCGGGGACGGCUCUCCCUCCUCUUCUCCAGGCGUGGCGGCGCGGGACGCUGGCCGGCGACGGGGACUCGCGGGCGGGCACGGGUGGUCGGGGGCGCGCACCGGCAAUGGUCGCGCAGUGCGCCGGCGCGAGCGGCGCGGAGGCGUGGGCAGCUGGGUCUCCAAGGAUCCGACGCCGCUCUGCCCAGGGGAGCUCCAGAUCCAGCUCCCUUCGGACGGCGGCCCGUUUCCCUUGGCCGGCGGUCCCCGCGGCCGCGACUGGGGGCUGGUGGCGUAGGCGGGUGUGGUGGUCAGCGCAGCGUGGUGGAGCAGGCCGUGGCGGUGACCCUGGUGACUGCCAUGCCUGGUCUGGGUGCCUCUCUUCGCCCAAAUCUGGACCCCUCUGGGGCGGUGGCUCGAACGGCUGGUGCACUCCAUGGUUGCGGCUGGGGGUCAUUGGUGGCUGCUGUCGGCGGGGUAGGCGUGUGGUGGUGUGGUGUUGUGGCCGGCGGUGAGGGGUUGGGUGCAGGUGGCAGCCGAGACAGAACCAACUCUGUCUAUGCAGGUGCUCGAGGUGAGCGGCUGUGUUUGCGGAUGACUCUUGCUGGACCAAGCGGGGACGCUCGCCGUGGACUGGCAGGAGAGGGGAAGGUCUAGCGCUGCCGGACUCGGCGGCCGGCGUUUGCGGAGUCGGCCGGACUGGGAUGCUUCGGGCGAAAGCCUAUUGUCGACCUCGUCGGCAACGAUGAUGACGACGUCUCCUGGCGCCGUGUCCCUUCGUGAAGGCAUCACUGGGGAGCUACCGUUGCCGGCUAUUUCUUUGUGCUUCGGGCGAAAGUCUCAGAUCCUUCUCUGGAUCGGACGACGACGACAUCUUCAAUGUUGUUUCCCCCUUGGGGGCGUCGUUUCAGGAGCCAGGGAUCCGCGGUUGGUCGUCUGAUGUCUGGGCUGGAGUGUUGGUUCAGGUUGCUGGUUUGUAGGGCGGUGGCGGUGGAGGUGCUCUGUGGCGGCGACCAGUACCUUGGUCAUCCUAUGCUGAUGGUUGACCUCUCUUUUGGGGGCUUGUGGCGGUGGUGAGGUCUCGGUGUUCGGCACCCUUCGAUGGCUUUUGAGGUUUGGUGGCCUGCGGAGUGCUAUGGUUCUCUCCAUUUGUGAUGGUGGCCGUGGUGUGGCUCAAAGGAGGUGUAGGGCUAUCUCGGCAGAAAAUUGCCCUUCGGCACGGUCUGUGGCUUUCUCUGCCGCGACGUUCCUAGGCAGCAGGAUGCUCUUCGAUGGUGGCUACGAUCUCCUAGCUCUUCAAGGUGCAGAGAUCGCAUGGUAGCAGGCAACUUCUUCUCUACGUCUUCUCAGUGGCGGAUGUCCUUUCGACGGAUCCAACAAAGCUAGUUCCUGCUCUUCUCGGUCCACUGGUGGUGAUGGAUGCUAAGUUCUUGGUGUUGGCUGCUUGUCGUAGCUCGCCUCUGGUUCUUUUUCUGUUGUUCCUUAUUCCAUCUUCUAUUCUGUUGUUCUUGGUUCCUUCUCCUAUGUGUCGAGUGAUAUCUGUUGUAACCGUCGUGUUGUAUCUCAAUCUUAUCUAUAAUGAAAAUGGUUCAGGCUGGCGUAAGCCCGCCGUAGCACCGUCAAAUAAAGAAUUGCUUUAAUUUAUUGCAUCACUCUAUUUCCUUGUUGCCGAAAUCCUCUACUGUGGUCUUUUUUUUUCAAAUCCCAAAAAGGUGUUACUUCCUACUACCCAUUUGUAGGAUGAGUAGCAUACGGUAAAAUAGUCAAAGGGCUCAGGCCAAUCUUUAUUAAGAUCGGAGAGAACAUUUACGAAGCAGCGAAGGUCGCCAAGGGUAAAAGCAGGUGAAGCUGUAGGCAGAGCCUCGUGGCCAAACACCACAAACAUACAACACCACGACCGCGCAAGCACAGCUAGUGGUAGCGACACAUGCCACAGACACACAGCUGCACCACAGCAAAAGCACGAGCAGCCAGCUAGAAGGCCGCGAUGGUAGCAAAACACCCUGCCUCCCACCAGGGUCUCAGCUCCUCAAUGAUCGUGUCCACCACUCCAGCCGGGGUCAAUGAGAGGCCGUUGAAGAUUCAUGCAUUGUGCUCCUUCCAUAUGCGCCAAUGCACACCGUAUCAAAGUCCCUCCUAAGCAGCUUAGGGGCAAGCUUUCCUCACGCGCAGCCACGUACGGUAUAAAUAGUACUCCCUCCGUCCCAAAAUUCUUGUCUUAGAUUUGUCUAGAUACAUAUGUAUCUAAUACUAAAAUGUGACUUUCAAUCCGUAUUUAGACAAAUCUAAGACAAGAAUUUUGGGACGGAGGGAGUAGUAGUGAGGCGCAUUAAAAUCUGCUUGUACCAUAGUAAACUUUAUUUAUCAAAACAUUGUUUUUUAUACUAACUUCCAUUUCCGGGUUAUCCUAGUCAUUAAAUAGACAGAUAUGGCCCUGGUAAAGCAGGCAGCUGAUAGUAGCUGUCAGGCGCCCACAAACUGGCUACUCUGUUCGGUUGUGAUGCAAGGGAUUGUUAGUUGUUACAGCCCGCUAAAACCCGCUACAGCAUAGUUCGCACUGUGCAGCAGCAUUUUGGUGCAAAUACAUUUUGUAUUUUCGUAUAAUUCAUUCGUUACAUAUUACUCAAGAUGUGAAAUAUGCCCCGAUCCAAAUAACCAAAAUAUAAUAUUUAUGUUUCUGCAAACACAGCCAAGUGGAUGCAGAACAUGGAGCAUGCCUUGCAUCUAAAUUAGCCAAUGGCGCAUAGCAAACUUUACUAAUCUUCUAAUUUGUAUUACUUUGCACAACUAUGCAGCUAAAUGACGAAUUACAUACAACACUUCCAGCAUGAAGACUUUGCUGAAUGUAGGAAAGAAGUCAAUAAAGAUACCAUAAAACAAGAAAUAUAUUACCUUGGAUAGCGCUGGGAUACCUAGGCUUUUCAUCAGUGCAGCAACUCUUCCAUAUAAGAUUUGCUUGUCCUCAGAAGAAAGUGUACCAAAUUGUAUGAAGUCAACAUCAAUACAGUUCUGAAAGUGUUGUUUCAACUCAUCAUCAUCUGACCAGCAAACAAGGCCAAAAGAUGGAUGGAGAGAGACCCAUUUAUCAACCAGGGUUGGCAAUAUCGUUGUCUCCAGCUUCUGAAGAGAAUCUUUCACAUAAACUAGAUCGUUCUUGUCACUCACAGAAUGGAUAUCGGUAGCCCAUCUCACAAAUACACGGAAGACCUAUGUAGAAUGUGGAAACGAAAGUUCAUAUUUUAAAGGCGUACAGCCAACAGUUGAGGCAAUGACAAAUAAAAAGACAUAACUUUAGGUACUCCAUGCAAAAGCAACUUACCUGAUGGGCUACUUGUGAAGGCAGUGCAACUUUAGAUAGCCGUAAGAGCAUCUCUACAUAAUCAGCUGUUGUUGGAACUUUUGGUACACCACAUGCUUCCGUAAAGAAUUCACAAAGGUUUGGAUAGGUUGAGCACAGCAUCCUUCUUGGGAACAUCCUAUUCUUCACCAAAACGAAUUCCUCUGUCGUUUCAGAACAACCUGUUGGGUCAUGCCAAUAGAGGUCUUUUGGGGAUAAAAAUUUACCAUGGACGACCUCACUGGAUCGAGCACGGAUUAGUGGUGUAAAUAUAGAUGAGCAUGACGUGAACUCCCGUUUGAUGUCAAUCUUUGCAUCAGCUGCACCUUCUGACACAAAGGUAUAGAAUUUGCUCAUCUGGUCCACACUGAAGAAAAGGCAGGUCAACCAUUAGAAAUUAUUUGACAAAAGAAAAUUUGCAGGGUAGUGUGCGGUGAAAAACAACUACAUGCCAGUGGGAUUGAUCUGGAAAUGUUCAAAUUAGUUCUUAAGCACAUACCCACAUUUUAAGCAACCACAUGUAUAGAUUAAAAUAGAAACAUGGUAGUGUUUAGACUAGUAAUCUUUACAGUUGCUUCGCAUCUAAGCAUGGAGAUCAGAUUUUCUUUUAAUGAAAUACCUUGCGCUGAAUGGAACUUGUGAUGUCAUCCAUAAGUUCAGGGUCAUUAAAGCGUCACUGUGGGAUACAUUUGUUUUGAAUCCAAUAACAUUCCUUAGUGACCCGCUGGAUACCUGUUCCACAGAAAUGAAGUUUCCAAGGUGAGUGGGCAAACGUGUUGGUAAGGAUAAAUAAAACACUUCUUUCUAUCGGCUUGUAGGUAAUAAUAAAAACUACAAACCUGAGGUACAGCAUAUGGGGCCACACCACCAAGCAGGGAACGCACGCUUUCACAAUCAUAAAACAAAUCCGUUGCAUUAUGAAGGUCAUAAUCCACAGUUGACGCUAUCCAUUUGAAGCUUCUGAUACAUUUCAUAAAGGAUGACUCGACUGUUCUGUUCCCAUCACAACUGGUCCCGCUUGUGAGACACCAAGCUUUUGCACUAUAAUGAUCAUCCCAGAAACUGUCAAGAACCUCCAUAAGAUAUAUGCAAUUUUCUCGGCAAUUUUUUGAAGAAAAUGAUGAUAAAAUGUUAGCCAGUUCUGGUGACUCCCAGUCAUACACUGUACAGGAUGUUCCAGAAACACCACCUUGCAAUAUUCUUCCUGCUAUCAAAGAAUCAACUUGGGAUAUGUUUUUCUCAACUUUCAUUACAUGCACAAAAUCAGUCACACCCAUCUCCUCAAAAAAUUGCCUCCAACUUUUCAGCACAGAUGGCAGCAAAUCUGAACCAUGAUUCAUCAAGUAACCACUAUCAAGUUCUAUCCAUCUGAUUUCAACAUUCUUAAGUAGCUUGCCUAUGUCCACAGGACUUCCAUAUUCUUUACUAAAGUGAAUUGGUUCAUCAGCUGGGCACUUGUAGCCAUGGUUUGUAAGUAAGAUGGGUCUACUUCGUAGUUCUGACAUUAUCUCUUCCUUCCCAAAAUUACAGCUUGUACAUGGAGACUGAAGAUGGAGCAUGAUAAAACUCACAUACUCUAUCAUCAUCAUCUUAUCAACCUUCUUAGCAUCUGUACCAUUUGGCAAGGAUGCGAGGAUGUGAUUUUUGAUAAUUUCAUGUCCAGACAACUUUCGCACCCCGAUUUUCAGAAGAAUAUCCGUCAGAUCGUUAGCUCUCAUUUCUUCUAUAAGGUAUUUAUUUUUACAGGACACAGAGAAAAGCAAUGGACUAACAAAUCGAAGGUUACCAUACAGAAUUGGGAAAUCCUUCAUGCUACCUUUGCAGUCAGUUGUGGAACCGAGAAUAUCAUGAGGCAACCAUAUAGGGCCAUCUGCUACAGAACUAAAUGAACCAUCUGAAAGCGGAAUGCAUGGUAAUUUCCUGAGAGCACAUAAAAGAUCACCUUCCAGACUUGUUGUCGAGGGAAUAUUUUGAAAAGAACGUGACAGCGCCAAAUGAAGAUUUACAAACCAAGCACAUAGCCACUCCAUCCCCAGUGACUCAAUGGAACCCUCAGUUCGGCAAAUUGAUGAUACCAUAUCAAUAAAAACAUUUGGUCCAUGAUCGUGAAUACCUAGGGCCCUUGAUAAUGUAUCAGGUAUGAUGAUAUCUUUUGACAGAUAACCAAGACCAAGAUGCUGAUGAAGUAAGCCAUCAGAAAACAGCAUUUUAGUCUGUUCAUCCCAACCCCUUAAUGUGUUGCAUGGAUAGACCCAUUGCGAACUAGAACCCUCCAAAACCAUGCACCUAUUCAGACGUAACUUGGAAAGGAUUAAGUGAGGGAGCUUGCAAAAGAAUCCAUGAACUUCUCCUGCUAGAGGAACAAAACUCAUGAAUGCUGUAACAGCCUUUCCAGGGCAACUCUGGAAGCAGGGAAGGGAACAAAAGGAUUCUUGUGCACUGACAAACAAAGAGGGGAAUUCGGAUAGCAACCACUGGUUCCAUGCAUUAUCUGCAUCCACUUCCUCUCUGGAAGAAGGUAAAACAAAAUCCCCUUGAAGAAUGAAUUUAAGACCAUAGUUCCUUAGAGGUAGAAAAGCGAACACAGGCUGUUGCUUCAAGUAAGGUUCAUACUCUCCUUUCUCAGUCUCCUGCAAAGUAAAUGCCAGAGCUAUCUCUGUAGUGUGCACAUCAUGGCGUACAAGUGUGCCCUGUAACUUCUUACUAACUACCAACCAACUCAUUAUCUCAUUCCCAUGUGAGAUCCUCACAAUGCCAUCACCAAGAGCCUUCCUUCUCAUAACCAGCAGUGUGUCAUUCACCACAUUCUUAAACUUGAUACAAUUCAGUCGGUUAAGGAACAGAAGCAGAGAUGGGUGGAGAUCUGAAAACAUGGAUGCAAUGGAGCACAUGCCAGUGUCAUCCCUGAAUUUAGAUCUGAAGGGAAGUAAAAUGCAAGUAUUCCAGCGGGAACAAGCGUCCUUAUCAUCUUCAACAGAUAACAUUCUACUCAAAGAGCUAGUACUGUAGGGUGGAACUGCAGUUGGCAAUACAAAACCAAUCUGGCCGUCGGUAAUGUCAAAUUUCACAUGGAAACCAUUUGAAUGGAUCUCUGGAGCAUCAGUUACCUGACAUAUUAGACAGAACAAAAAUGUGAUUUUUCCACAUUAACUCGAGAUUCCUACCCAAAAUAGUAGAUGGCAAAAAUUCAAAUGACUGAUACAAAAAGAAAUUCAUGAAAUCAUAGAUGGCAAAGCAAGCAAUAGUAAAAUCAUUAUGGCUUUAUGGUGGUAAUAAUUGGAAAUGAUUCUAUUAAACCUACCCGAAAUACUGAUUUAAAUCCAAUGCCCUUAUUUCCAAUAUAACCCCUGUUGGCUCCUUUCUUUGUUGAGUUACCAAUAUCACAAAGAGCUCUAAUGUUCUCAGCAGAAAAGCCCCUCUCGUUGUUGAGAACAACGAUACCAUUAUCCUGAAGAACGAAUGCUAAUGUGGGUUCAACAUCCUCAAGAUAAGUAUUAUCGUCAGCAUUCUGUACCUGAAUAGAGUAGGCAGAUGUCAGCAAAAAACUGAUCUUCGCACCAAACAAGCACAAAAAAUGAACGAGUGCAAGUUAAGCUUACCAGCUCAAGAAGUAGGUGAGAAUCCUGAGAGUAUAAUUCUUGUGAAAGACAAUGCAGUGCUCGGCCAAGUCGAGCAUGCUGCUUCGUCAACAAACUAUUCUCGGUGCAGCUUAGAGCCUGAUCCAAACCAAACUCAUCACGUCGUAUAGUCUCAAUAACUAGAGCUGCUUCCUCGAGAUUAAUUUCUCCCCUCACGGGAGAUUGGUUUGUAUGAAAUGCAGUUUCUGCCUUGACUCCAACAGGAUUUAACAUGUUCUGGUUUUCCUUAUUAUUCAUAGAAAGGACUUGAUCCUUUCCGCCAGGAAAUGAUUUAGUACUGUCAUUCACCAUAUCAGCAUCAUGAGGAAUAAGCAUGUUAGAGUUUUCAAGUGUAGGUCCUUCAGAUACAGCUGAUGUAUGCCCAGAAGAAGAAUGUGUUUCUGUCUUUGCACGACCUUCAGCUAAACAGAAUUCACGAUAAUCUUCGACCCACUCGGUAAUUCCAAGUGACAACCCAACAUCAUGAAGCAUGCAAAGCUGCCAAGUUUCUGUGGCUUCAUGUAAGAUGACUGAAUAGCAAUUUUUGGUAACUGUCCGAAGUCCGGACAAUAGUAUAUCUGCUGCAAGACUCCGGAAUUCAGAAGGCAGAUGACCAAGACAAUCAAGGAAAAAUUUGGCAACAAAAUGAAUAGUGCUGUCAAUGUUUGUUAAGACAUCAGACAUGACAUUUCUUGCAGAAGACAGAUGGGAGCUUUCUUGAACAUGGCCAACAAAAUGAGGAGAGCUGUCACGCUGUUCAGCACUUAGAUUAUGGGAUCCCUCAGUCACAAAUGGUUUGCCAUCAGAACUAGUGUUCAUUGGAUCCUUGUUGUUGUUCAUUAUGAUACCUAUUGCUCGUUGUGCAUAACACUUCAGUAAGGAAAAUGGAGUAUUCACAGAACCAUUGUAAAUGUGCAGCAAGGAAAGCAGCUUCACUGCCACUUGAAAUGGUGAGCAUUGAAUAAUGGCUUCUAAAAAUUGGUCAACCGUGGCUGAUGGAUCUACUCUUAUAAAUCUACCAUCUGUGGUCACGAUGCAAGCUAGCUGUUGAACUGGACCUGCAUUCAGCAGCCAGUGUAUGAAGGAACCCAGUGAAGGAGCAAACAACAUAUCCCAAUGUGACCAGAGAAGCAGAUCUGACAACAUUGGAGCCUUAAGUAAACAGUUAGUUGCUUCUCGUGAAGAAACGGUUUCAGAAUAAUAAGUUUGUUCAGAACUGUUCCUCUGCCCACCAACAGUAUCAUGCUCGCCUGGAGACAUUCCAGACCACCGUUUCUCCAACAGAGAGACAGAAAACGUGAUAUUAUUUGUGUGUGUGCUCCUUCUCUGUCUCUCUAUAGAACCUUUAAGUUCUUCCCCAGAUUUGAAUUGUGCAAUAUCAAAACUAAUUGUCGGGAACUGCCUUUUGAGAAGCAUAAGGAAACUAUCCCCUGAAAAGUCACCAUCUUCUAGCCAGUUACCCUCGGCUUGGCAGAGUAGGACUUCAAUUUGUUGCCGCAGUACAGAAACUUCCAGAGACGAAGAAUUAGAGUUCCCCCGCUUCAACAAACUACUCAACUUAGGGGGGAAGUGAUCACCAUGUUUUCCCAAAAACUCAAGGAAAGUCCCAUGGCCAAGAGAAGUAAAUUGCUUGGCAGAAAAUUGAGUAACUACCCAUAUUUCACAAUCAUGAAGUGUCUUCAGGAACAUAAAAUUUUCCACUUUCAAGGCCCCAGCUCUAGACACUCCACUGUUGGACUCAAAAUAUUCAGUAAUUCUCCUGAUGACAUCAUCAGCUGUGACAUCUGCAUGAACAAACACAAAUGAUAAGGGGUAUUUCUUUGUGUCAACUGUCAAGUGGUGCAGCAGCUGUUAGAGGUUGGUUCCAGUUCCAUAUCACAGAAUUUGAUUGAGUGCAAACAACUGAGAGAGAGAGAGAGAGAGAGAGAGAGAGAGAGAGAGAGAGUACUGGGUCCAGGCUGAUUGGCUCCUUUAGCAAUGGAUUUAGUAUUUUCUUUACUCAGGGGCUCAAUUUCCAUAACCUCCGUUGUGGUGUUAGGAAUAGGACUUGAUGACAAUUUAUUCUCACUAAAGACAUGGAUCGCAUCAUAAAUACUGUCCAGCAGACCACAGGCCAUAGAUCUAACCUGCAUAUACAUGACACAGGACAUUAAAUAUGAUCACAAAAUGCUACCAGAACUUUUCAGCAACAGAUACAGAAAAAUAAGGAAGAACUGCAAGCUACCAAUCAGGACACAAGCUAUCCUCUCGAGAACUUUUCAGCAACAGAUACAGAAAAAUAUGAUCACAAAAUGCUACCAGAACUUUUCAGCAACAGAUACAGAAAAAUAAGGAAGAACUGCAAGCUACCAAUCAGGACACAAGCUAUCCUCUCGAGAAUUUAUCCUGCGCACCCAAGCUAGAAACAUAAACUAACGAAGAAAAAAAACUGAUUUUUUAAGAGAUGGACAAUCCACAUCUACAAUGUCACAAAAUGUGAAGUCCAAAUUUGAAAUACAGCUCAAAAAACAAAAAACAAAUUUAGCGCUGAUAGUGCUAGUGGGCCCAAUUCACGGCCCAAUUCAAAAUACUAUUCAUAAAAUAAUUUGCCUUAUUUGAUUCUCGAGCUGUGGGUCAAAUUUGAGUGUGAAUUUUUGUGUCAUUGUAAAUAUAUGCCGUUCUCCAUGCUGAAUUAUUUUCAAAGUUCUUUUACGACAUUUAUUUAGCUCGUGUUUUCACCUUGGGCGAACGCACCAUAAGACUUGGUGCACCGGAUGCAUUCACACCUCAUCAUACAAGUACAAGCCACGUAUGCUACACCUGCAGAUCUAUUGGCUCACAUCAGGAAAUUUAUGAUACCGAGCCUAACUAAUCUUAACUUUGAAGUGCAUUCUAUGUGUAGCAACUAAAAAGAAUGAAGCCGUUUUGCAAACAACAUAUCUGGUUAGUAGAUCCACUUGUAAUGUAGGAGUUGGCUGAAAAAGGAAUCAACUCACUGCAACAUUUAGGAAGCCAAUGCCUGGGUAUUGCGAGAAGAAAUUUAUCAUUUUCCUCUUUUCUUCUGGUGUUUCUGUAUAGUAAUUUGCUAUCAAUUCCAAAACCUGCAUCAAUGAGAAGUGCAAAAUAAAUUAGAUUUGGAAACAGUAAAAGGCCCUACUGAAACUGAAAACACUUAUAUUCUGCUGAACAAUUGAUGGAAUUCUUCGAAUUUUAGAGUUAAGAUGAAGAAAUUGUAUGCAGAAAACAUCGAAGGAGGGGGGGGGAGCUAACAAGUACUCCCUCCGUUCACAAAUACAAGAUGUUCUAACUUUUUUCUGAAUCGGAUGUAUAUAGACAUGUUUUAGUUUGUUCACUCAUUUCAGUCUGUAUGUAGUCCAUACUGAAAUAUCCAAAACAUCUUAGAUUAAGAAAAAAGUUAGAACAUCUUAUAUUUGUGAACCGAGUGGGUAGCAUUUUGUAAAGGAAAAGAUAGUUGAGGUCCACCAGCAAGAAUAUAUGCACUGUUUUUAACACCAGAAAGACUCAUGAUCCGACCAAGCACAGAUAGAAUUAAGAUGUGCCGCCCAGAUUUGAAUACCAGGAUUGAAACAGUUGGAAAAAUAUUGGUUAAAUCUGUCUGACCAAGGACAACAAACUCCAGGCCAAAAUAUCAUGUAUGUAAACCAUCAGCAGAGAAAAAAAACACAAAUAAACACAAACAAUCGGCAGAAAGACAAGACACACAGUCUUGCAGGUUUCCAUGGCAUAUCUGGGCAUCCACCAAUCAUCCAACUACCAGGCUGGAUCAAGCACAAGGAGGGAUGGCCAGAUCCAGGCAUGGUAAGGUGGGGAUCUGGCUUUUCCCGAGCUCAAGUGCGGCAGCAUGGCCCACAACGACCCCAACCUUAGUGGGGAUAUUUGGCGGGGGUCUCCCCCACCCCAAAUAUAGCUCUCGCCAUCGAAUCGCCAACACCGCUGCAGAUGUGCCACACCGUGUUUAUCGAUGGAGCAAAGACGAACAUGAGAGAAAUCGAUGCCUCGGUGGAGUGUUUGAGCACUUCCUUUAAAUUGGGUAGACCCGCAUGCUAUGUAUUCUGUUGGUAUUUAUGUUUGUAUUUGUAGCAAAAGAGAAAGCAGGCAGUUUUUUUAUGCAUAUGCAGAGCCCAGAUUCCAAGCUCAAUGGGGCUUGAGGGCUGAAAAUCCACACUCUGAUAAAUGUAACUAUAGUUCACAACUAUUCAGAGAACAAGGAUUUGACCAUAAGUAAACAGCUAGCAAGCAUACCUGUUGAACUGAAUGUUCACGGCAUGCUUCUUUCCAGGUUGUUAUGAAUUUCUCCAGCUUACCUGUACUUAGGAAGCAAUUAGGCGAGACUUCUUUCUUUUUUAUUUGCAUCUUUUGCCGCUUAUUGGGCUGUUUGCACAAAGAGCUAGGAGUCCCAUUUUCCUCAUAUUUCCUUUUGUUUCUUGAAUGGACAUUUACUUCAUUCGCUUUUACCUUGCUGCUCACAAUAGCUGGUUUUUUACUCUGUUCUGAUUUCAAACCAAGACGUUUAAUUUCUUCUGCUGUCGAAGGAUAUGGGCAGCCACUGACACUUUUAUCAACAUCCUUUCUGUCAACAAUAUAACAGCUAUCUUCGCUCUCACUCUCCUCCACGGCGUCCUUCGAACUACUACCGUCAUCAACUUCAUCACCGGCUGAAUCAAAACGAAUAUGUUUAUUGAUGCCUGGUAAUUGCUUUAUACGGCUAGUUAUAUCAUCGAACCUCUUGUCCAACUCCUGCUUCCCCGAAUGGAAGUCUGUCUGUUUUGGUAGAUCCUUCUCACAAGUGCUAUCACGAGAACCACUGGUCUUGCCUAGAUGUUUAAUUGCAGCAACUUCAUUUCUUCUGGCCUGUCGGAGAAAGGAAAUGUGCAACCUACAAAACCCCCCCAAAUCAGAUAAAUUAAAUAUUCUGGUGCAAAGUAAGAGACAAAAUAGUACUCCCUCCGAUUCAUAUUACUUGUCGCUCCAAUGGAUGUAUCUAACACUGAAAUAUGUCUAGAUACAUCCAUUUCAGCUACAAGUAAUAUGGAUCGGAGGGAGUAGCAGGAAGGCUGAAGAAAGUCAUUUCUAUCUCAAAGUACACACCAGUACCAACGUUGGAGCACGCAAGGAAAGUGAACAAGUAUGUGCCUAAAAGAGAAGGUACAUACCCCAAGCUCUGUACGCGCACGCCAAGUUUCUCCUUCCCAGAGACCGACUUUUGUUCCGCGAGAUGAUCCAAGAAGCUUUCCGCUGUGACUUUCUCCUUAGAAUUAUCAAUAAACUUCUGCAGGCAACUGAUAAUCUCCUCGCUACUAAGCUUAGGCACCUUGGAUAAAUCAGCAGGUACAAAAAAAUAAUGUGCAACAAGUGGGUGCUGAAGAAAAGGCCCCAACCCCAGCUCUUCGAACUGACCAAUACCCUCGUUCUUGCAUAUCUCAACCUCCAGGUCAUGAAUAGAUACGAUUUUUCUUGCUGCAACAUAACAAUGGAUGAAUGUGUUCACCUGGCAAACAACAAACCAAGUCCAUGUAAAGUCAAACAGCAGAUAACCAUGUGCAGUUCUCCCAAAUAUUACUUAGUGAUAAUUUGACCAUUAGAAAGAGCUCUGCAAGCUUUAUGCUGUUGCAGAAAAUGAGCAAAAAAGAAGCAUUCUGGCACUUGUUACAAAAUGAGCAAGCAUUUAAGCAGCGCUGUCUACAGAAAAUGAGCAAAAAGAAGCAUUCUCGCGCUUAAUUUAACAUGAGCCAUAGUGAAUUGCAAUGCUAUGCUAUGGCAAGGGAGCAUAUUAGUUAGGUUUCCUUUUCCUUACUCUUCUGUUUCUACAUAAUAGCAGAACAGAAGGUGCUGCGGAGUUUAGCACAGUUAAAUUAUCUGAUAAGAUGAGAACAUGUACCGAAAUUAACAUAGCAGGCAUGGAACGUGCACAAGCCUGGGUGCAGUGCACUGUGCAAACAUACUCGCAACUUCACCAAACACAGGGCAACAAUCUCAGCGCCACUUGUGUUUACAAAUGAAAUCAGAACAGAGUACUGCACAAUAUCCGGCAUGAGACGAAGGCCUAUAUAAGCAUGACAAAGCUAAUAAAAGAGGGAGAGCAGGGCAUAGAGCACACGGCUGCGCCACCCCCUGACAGUUUGCCUCAUGGUGCCAACACAUGGCAGUUUAAUUAUGAACUGGAGCGUAGAAGAAGCAGGGUUUGCAGGGUCAACGAACCAAGCUCCAGCAAUUGCAGAUGAAAUCACUGUGAAUUCAAAACAGAACAUAUACGAGCGUUGCGAGGUCACGUAGUCGCGUACAGUGCGAGCUACCGGGAUCUCAGCCGAGCAGGAACACUGACCUUGCCCUCGAUGCUGAAGAGUUCGCGCAGGACGGGCACGUCGUGGAGCUGGACGCCGAGGGAUCCCCACGAGUCCGCCUUGAGCGCCACGAGCGCCGCCUGGGCCACCUUCCACCCGGUGACGCCCUGGCCCGCGUGCGUGAGCUCGUCCCGCGCCUUGGUCGCCGCCGCCUGCGCCCUCUCGAGGGCCGCGGGGUUGCGCGGCGGCGGCAGCGGCUGCUGCUGCUGCUGCUGAGGCGGGGCCGACGCGGGCGAGGGGUUGGGCGGGCGGUGCUGGACGUUGGGGGUGGUAGGGCUCUGGGCGUAGCCGGGGGAGGGGAGCGGCGGCUGCUGGUACUGCUGCUGCUGAUGCUGAUGCUGCUGGAACUGCUGCUGGUGGUGGAAGGCCGCGGCGAGGGCGGCCUGGUUCUGGAGGAGGAGGUGAGGGAGCAUGAGAUGGAAGGGGUCCUGCCCNNNNNNNNNNNNNNNNNNNNNNNNNNNNNNNNNNNNNNNNNNNNNNNNNNNNNNNNNNNNNNNNNNNNNNNNNNNNNNNNNNNNNNNNNNNNNNNNNNNNNNNNNNNNNNNNNNNNNNNNNNNNNNNNNNNNNNNNNNNNNNNNNNNNNNNNNNNNNNNNNNNNNNNNNNNNNNNNNNNNNNNNNNNNNNNNNNNNNNNNNNNNNNNNNNNNNNNNNNNNNNNNNNNNNNNNNNNNNNNNNNNNNNNNNNNNNNNNNNNNNNNNNNNNNNNNNNNNNNNNNNNNNNNNNNNNNNNNNNNNNNNNNNNNNNNNNNNNNNNNNNNNNNNNNNNNNNNNNNNNNNNNNNNNNNNNNNNNNNNNNNNNNNNNNNNNNNNNNNNCGCGGGGUCGGAGGCCGAGGCGGCGCCGUGCCACGCGGCGGCGAAGGCGGCGCUGCGCGGGUCGUAGCCGUGCGGCGGCAUCUGGGGGUUGCCGCGGCCCCUCAUCGGGGCGGCGGCGGGUUUCGGGCGGCGCGGCUAGGGUGGGUUGGGAGGGGGGAGGGGGAGGCGGCGCCGAUGACGUGAGGUGGAAGAAGGGAAAAGGGAAGGAGGUGUGACCUCCGUGGACACGCGCGCUAGGGCGGCUUGGGCUCAGGGAUUUUAUCUUGGUUUACACCUCUGCGUUGCGGGCUUCGGGCUGGGCCGGUCACAAAAAUCGGCCGCCUGUCCUUCAUGGGGUUCCCACAACACAUUUUUUUAUUCUUAAAUCCAAAAAAAACGCUUUUUUACUUUCCUUUUUCUUCUGAAAACAUAUCUUUUAGGAGUAAUAGCUGGCCCCAUUAACUUUUUCUAAACCACAUGAAACUAUGAUAGCGCUGUGAUACACUCCCAACCCUAGCUAUUGUGCCCAUAACUUCCUUGCACGGCGCCGCCUGCGUCUUCCCCAUAUGGUCGACGACGAGGUGAGUUGGGGGGAAGGGGGCCAUCUGUCUUGUUUUCCUUUUCUUAUACUUUUUCCCUGUCAACAUCAACAACGUGGUGGCGGCGAUGGCCGUUGGAAUAAGGUAUCUUCGUUUUUUCCCUACCUCGUUGACGCCUGAUUUGGUGUAAGGAAGGGCAUGUGAUAGUUUGUGUCCCUAGAUUUGUUCAUAUAUUGGCAAAUGCUGCAUCUUUCAAGGAGAGCUACUUGGCCGACUUUUGAUUGCAAGUCCGUAUUGUGUCGGAUGAUUCUUCAACCGACAUUGCUUCGGCGAUUUUUAAAUCUCAUCUCAUGGGCGAAUGGUUAUUAUUGUCUUCAAAGGCUGGUAUGGUUAUUGCAAGGUUCGCAGGGGCCUUAAACAUUACAAAGACUUGUGCUCAAAUGUUAUGCAUCAACAAAGAAAACGACUCAAGUAAGAGAGCAUCUAUGUGGUAGGUAACUAAGUUUUUUUCGGUUUCAGUCGAUUGACCCUAGCCGUUUGAUUCAGGCCAAUGGCUGCCUCGCGUUAUUCUUUCACAACGUAUUCCCCAGGAUCCCCUCCCUCCCUUCCAAGUGGCGCCGGGGUUGGCCACCGCAUCCCCAUCUCAAGAUCGACUGCCAUCUAAUCUAAGUCGUAGUUAGAAUGAAAGCCCCCACCAGCACUUCUGAAUCCUCGUCCCAAUCUCCGACGUGGUCCUAGCUUGGUCUCGCCAUUGGCAACGCGGCCAUCCAUGUCGCCUUCGUCUAGCCUCAAAACUCAGCACUACAACUACUAAAAAUUCGACCAGUCUGAAAAAAUUCUCAAAUGCCUAAGGAAUAACAAAUCCACUAAAUAACAAUUGGUAAUGUCACUAUGUCUACCUCUCCAGACUGGCUGACUUGAUGUGGCUAAGAGCAACUCUAACCAAGUUGUCAUAUUUGUAGUCGUCAUAUUUGCAUAUGGAGCCUGAUCCAUAAUAUUUUGAAAGAUGGUCAGGUGACGUGCAAACUCAGAGUCACCAUAUCUCAACCUCAUAAUAUACUUUUUUGUUAUCUUUAUUCAACCACUUGAAUUGAAUCCAAAAGAUCAUAUUGGAGUUAAAAUCAACGUGUACAAAUCACAUGUUGUUGGCGUGUGCACCAUCCCCUUAUCUGGCAUGUGCAUCAUCCCCAUCUCCUCUGGCGUGUGCACCGUCCAGCUCUGGCAUGCACCCUUUCCUCAAAUGACCUGGAACAUAUGAUCGUCAUCCGCAUCCUCUACAAAAAUGCUCGCUCAUUGGAUUCAUGGUGUUCGGAUCCAACAUGAUGAACUGAUUCUCCACGGGUGUCUGUUCAUGUUCAGUUGUCACCCGACACUCCUCAAUUUCAAGCCUACGCGCCUCCGUCUCCUCAUGGCGUCGCCAUAGCAUCCCACCUCGGUAUCUUCUCUUGGAUCUUCUUCUCCUUCAUCUCGAGCCUUUCUUACUUCCUCUUAUCUGCGUACUCGUUCCUUGUCCUCAUCAAGACAGAGACACUAAUCUUUCUUUUCAUCACCUCCAUCUCUCCUUGUCUCUUGAGUUUCUCCUUUGUUACCUUCCUCUCGUCGGGUCGACCCGUUUCAGAGGCCGGAGUGGGACCUCUAGGCACCCUUUCCUCUCCAUCACCAUCGUCCAUCUCAUAAGAGGAAUUGUGCACUCCAAUUUUCGGAGAACUUUCAUCAUUCCUUGAUUUCUACUUCUCGUUGCCUUCCAAGAGAUUCCAACAAUGUAGGAGGCCAACACAAUUUGCCCUUUGACUUGGCCACUUAUUGUGCCUCUCCUGGGCUACAUAAUCCUAAAAGAUACUAAUACUCAAAUUGAUGUGAAUGCUCAAUAAAAUGCAAAUGUGGCAAUACAUUGCUUACAUAUUGCUCAAUGGCGACACUGCUAGGAGAAGUGUGCUUCACUUUCUCCAAACAACCAACCCAAUGAUUGCACAUCCUUUGACUCUUACCCCAUCAGCUUAUGAGAGAUUUGAGAGUAUGUCUGGUUGGAUGCCCAAGGUGAUGUUUGAAAUGCUCCUUGAUGUGCUUCCAAUACUUUGAACUUAUUUGAUCUUUUCCAACAGCCACACCGAGAGAGAUCUUUUGUUACCCCCUCACAACCACAAUAUCAUCACUCGCGGGGUAGCUUUCAGCCCGAAUAUCUUUCUUCCUUGACAACUGGAGGGUUGGGAUUGAUCAAAUUUUGUAUCUCGGUUGUCCGCAUCCAUUUGAUCUAAAUGCGAUGCGCCCAGAACAUCAAAAUCAUUUGUGCCACUGGACUCACCCAUCAUACUCCCGAUAAAUGAUUCGUCCUUGAUGGUCGACCCCCCCCCCAAAAAACACAAAAUCCUCCCCAAAAUCACAGAAUCCUCGCUAAAUCACUAUCAUUGCACAUUUGCCAACAUUUUUCCACAAUCAUCUUGCAUUCGAUUGAACAAACUGAAUACAAGCAAUGUAUCGCUUUUUUACCUCUCUUCGUUUCGCCCGCGUCAGACUAGGAAGGCACCCGAGUUUCACCCGCCGCCGGGAUGAAGAGAGGAGGGGCUCGACCACUGUCCGACGUCUUCUCAUUAUAUUUCUUCAUUGAUGGUUGUGCGACACAAACGGGGGGAACGGCAAUGCAUGUGGUGGCAUAGGGGUUUGUCACCUCUAAGCCUGGCUCAUUACCGACAUGAUGGACGAGGUAUUUGCCUAGGUGGUGGUGAACCGCAGGCAAAGGCGCAACGAUCGUUGAAGUCGUGGGAUCCGACUCCAAACCAACGGACUAGGAAGCGGGGGUUGAGGCGGCAUCCGUGAGGUUGUUAGUGGGGAUUGGGGACGAAAGGAAGCGGCACAGGUGGCGCUACAGAGAGGGAGGGAAGGUGGCAGCGCAGGCGGGGAGAGCAGAUGGGGAAAUGUCACUCGCGCCAAACCAUUUUCAAGAUGUAGUGCGCCCUAAAUACCCUCUCUCCAACUGCCAAAUAUGAAGGCUUGCAGGCUCAAUUGGAGCGGCCUCCAAAGAUUAUGCCGGAUGGCGACUAUGCCAGACGUCACGGUUUUUGCCAGAAUUAUCGUGCUGAUGGUUAUUGUUGCGAUCGGGCACUUAUGGCAACUCUACUAGAGUUGCUUGCUCUAGGUCAGCAAACCUGUAUGCUGUAUGAGCUGUCAAAUUCAAUAUUGGCCGACUUGCUGGCUUGCCUCUCUAUGAGUAGUCAAAUUUCAGAUAAGGACAUGCUACGGUACAUACCUCGGAUGCAUGGUACAGAAUGACCAGGAGAGCUGUUGCAGUGUUGAACAGGACGUGUACAGUAAAAUGAUCUGGACCACUCCAUUUAGAUCCGGCGGUUCAAAGUGAACCAAGUUACCUGUGACCUUGGCCACACAAAGUCGGCCAAGCCGAGGCCGUGCUAGACUAGUGCCGACAGAAAACAGCUCCAUGUUCAUCGACAGAGAAAGAUACUGCAGCACAACAACGUGCAAGUCCUACAAUGACAGGCCCAUGUGUGGGCCAAAUUCAUGGCAAAGACAAUGACUGAAACCAACUCACUAAUUGAUGUAAACUCGCAAGAUUGCUCUUCUGUGCCUGAUGGGUUGUAAACGACCAUUAACCACAAUCAGCCACUCAAAAAGUAAUGAUAGUAUCAAUUCAUCUAAGCUUUUCUACCAUUAACAUUUACAACUGAAGUUCUUGAGCAGUCAGAAAUUCUAUAUAUAUGGGAGAAAGAGGAGCACCACAAGCCGAUCCAGAAGAGUCCCCACAAGCUGCCUGUUCGUUCAUUCCCUCGGUCGUUUCUAGCUGAAACUCGGCCCGUGUCAUCUCUAAACAAAACUCGGCCCGAUCAGUAACACCAAAAAGAGGUCAGGUGCCACCGGUUCCCUCAUCGCUAUCUCAUGUUGCAGCACCGUGGUCUCCCAGCCUGCAGCUUGUCCCACAAACACAGCAUCUGCCUCGGUGAUUGGUAAUGCGCGGUGUAGUAGUCGUCUAUGCAUCCGAAUUGACAGAACUUGACGCUGUGCACGUAUUCGACGGGUCUGGUGUGGUUGAAACGCCCCACCCACAUUCCCAUGCUCACGUCUUCCAUUUUGAAGAGCUGCACAGCAAGCAAAAUGUGAAUUAGUCAUCUUCUUUUUAUUACCAGAAACGAACUAGUGGUCUGUCAACGUUUUUUAUGCCCAGAUUCUCUUCUUUUCAACCCGGUUCAAGUUAUCUUGUGCAUGGAAAUCUGCAUAGUUUUUUAAUAUGGUAUUACGGCUGCUCCACUGGGAGCAUAAACAUAAUCUGGUGAAAUUCUGGUUCAUUCUGGUGGUAUGAAAAUUGUUGACUAAUUUCUGUAGCAUGUGGGCCAGAAGCAUUUGUCUGAUCUUACCCUUAAUUUAUGAUCUGUAAAUUCUGAAACAAUGGAAUCUGCGAUAUCAGCAGAUAUAACAUAUCCAGGACCAUUUGCAUAUGUUGGAUAAUCCUCUUCUGGCCACUCCUGUCAAGUACAAUAGAAAAGCAGAGAUAAGAAAUAUGUGCAUUUACUGCGGACACCGUACACUGCUUUUGGUUAAAGGAGUAACUUGAUUGGAACUUAAAGUGGAAAAGCAUAAUAGACGUGUCUAGUAUUCAGAUAGUACAACCUGUUGAAAUUCAGAGUAAUUACCUACUGGAAAAUAUGAAAUUAUGACAGGAAGUCUGAGGCAGCACACAAUAACUUUUAGAGUAAAGUUGUGCAUUCUUCCUACAGAUUUAUUCAGGCUCUAGCAAGCAACAAAGCAAACUGUCCUACUGGCAGGAACUAACGACUGCAUCUUUUAUAGCAACUUUGGCUCAAACAUAAAUUACAGCGAGGGACAAGUACGAGAACUCAUCUAUUUUAAAUAAGAACAGAAAGUUCAAUAACUUCUGGACUGUUUGCUACAGCAAUGUAGUGAAGCACUAACUUAAUAAACCGAUGAAAGAAAAAAGGACAGUCGUUGUGAAAUCAAUUCUUCAAGUUUACCUCGUAAGUAACAGCCCAUUUCCCAAUGCGCAAUGGAUUGUGGCGAUAAUUCAUGUUCCCUAUAUAAAGACUUCUACCGGUCGGUAUUUUCUUAACUUCAGCCAUUACUGCAUCAAGUCUAACAAAAGUAUCAUCAUCACACUUCAUUAUAUAUUUCGCAGAGACGGCAUGGACCUGAGAGAGAAAGGGUUCAUUGGUGGCAAAUAGUCAAUAGAGCGAGUUAAUUAGCAAAUUUGAAAAUGGGUACUAGCUCUUACACAUACCCCAUAUUCGCAUAUCGCAACCGUCUUCAGAACAACCAAAUCAUAGCUGUCCAUGAAUGGCACAAUGACAAUGUCCCCAAAAAAUUCUGCUUCCUUUUUCAACUCUAGAUUCACUUCCUUUCUGGCAUGCUGCAGAAAAGAUAAUUCAAAAGCUCAAGCCCAUGGAUAGUGGAGUACACAGCUAGGAAUUACUAAGCCAUAGACUGAGUCAACAAAAAUUACCAGCGCAACAAAAAAUCGAGCAACGACAUUCGAAGUCUUCUGGGCAGCAGACAUCCACGUCUUGCGAGCAGCCAUACGCUCUGCAAAAUGGUUGCCUGCUGACAGGAUGCCGAUGAAUAUCUCGGCUGGUUCUUCCGGUAGGGGAGGGGCCUGCCAAGCUGGAAACAUCUCAAGGUGUUUCUGCGGUGCAAAGCUAGGAUGCGUAGUGGGCAAAGUCCCCGCAAACACUGAUUGCACAUCAAGGUCCCCAUUCAAUGAUAGGCCAGUAGCAUCCUCAAGCCCAAACCCCUGCAAACACCACCAGAGACAAAAGUUAGCCACAGUGCCCCACCAUUCUAACAUCUAAUUAUGCUUCUCAUAUCUUGAUGAGCAGAGAGUUGGCACUUACGAUGCGGUACGGGAAUGACGUCACAUGCCGGCCAUCAACAUUCACAUGAUAUCCCUCCAAUCCAGCGGUGAGAGUAAGAACAAAGAGGCGGUCCUCCACAAAUGGGUAUGGCCAAGAACUAGAAACCUUCUUGGUCCGGCCAAUGAGGUGAUUCAACCACCAUGACGUCUUGGACUCGUUGGACUGAUCUUCAUCCUGAAUCCACUUCUCACACUUGACCAUCCCAUCCACUGAACAACAAUUCAAUCAAUUUUAUCUAUCUAUCGUACAGCCAAAAUAAUCAAUAACAGAGUAGCUAAACAGUAGUAGUAGUAUUUGAUCAGUCAGGCAACAAAGAAAGAGAAACAGGGUGUAGCAUACCAGUCUCCUCGUCGGCACGGGACAUCCAGCCCUCGCAUCGGAUGGAGGUGCCCCACUGCAUGCGGUAGCAGGUGUUUUGCUCGAUGACAGGCUUGCCGCUCCAGUCGCCGUGGAGGCGGGGGUUGAAGUGGAGGAUCCUGGGCGGGUCCUCGCCGUCGACCGUCUUAAGCCCCUGCAGCUCCAUCAUGAACUGCGAGACCAUGAGGGGCUCCUCCCCCUCCCUGAGCUGCGCGAUCUUGGGGUCCUGCUCGGGGUGCGCGGCGUACGGCGUGGCGGCGACGGUGAUGUAGGAGCCGAGCGUGAGCCCGCAGGGGAGCUCCACGGUCCGCCCCCGGGCCCGGAACUCGUCGCCGGCGAGCACGAUGGAGUGCGGGCACUUGGCCCUGUCCUCCUCGUCGAGCGGGUCGGGCAGGGACGCGCCCCCGAGGGCGUAGAGGUCGGCGAAGACGCGGGCCCCGGCGGCGGCGGCCUCGGCGGCGACCUUGCGCAGCGAGCCGCCGGCGCGGGAGGAGUUGAGGCGGCCGAGGUCGAGGCCGGAGACGAUCCCCGACGGCGCCGCCUCGAGGGCCUCCCGGUGCGCGCGCACGGAGGGGCGCGCCGGCGCGCCCCGCCCGGCCGCCGCGUCGUCGCCGUCGACGUGCAGGUGGCGCGCCCCCGCCCCCGCGGCGCCGGGCAGGGGCAGGGAGGGCGGCGAGGCGAGGAGCACCUGGAAGAGCGCGUAGGCGAGGAUGAAGAAGGCCGCGAAGCCCUGGACGGCGCGGCGGCGGGAGGGCGCGGCGGCCGCCAUCCCCCUCCGCAUUGCAGGCAAGCCCUAACCCUAGCUGGGAGGCGAGCGGGGGGCGGCCGGAGCCGCGGGUACGGGUCGGGAGGGGAGCGAGCCGGGCGGGGGCGGAGCAGAGGCGGCCCACGGAGGGAUGGAUGGAAAGGGCAGGGGACGGGAAAGCCGAGGCCGCGGGACGGGCGUGGUACGUGUCCGCCGCGUUGUUCUGAAGAGAGAUGAUCGACGGUUUCCGCCCCGUUCAAACCGAUGCGGGUCGCAUUAUUCUAGUGCUAUUUUAUUUCUCUCUCGCCCGCCCGCCCGCCUUGUGUGAUUGUGAAAAGCAGCGCGCCUAAUUUACUCCGUUGCGCGCACAGGCACAGUGGUGGGUUCGGCACGCGGGGGGAGGGGAGGGUGGCGUCGCGUGGGCUCGGCGCACGGUGGAUCGGCCUGCUGCCGUGCCGUGUACCUGGGGGCGCUGGUGUGCGUGGAGCUGUGGACUGAGUGCGUGGACGACGUAUGGGUGGGGUAAAGCGGCGCGCGCCGGCGCUGGGGUGGGGUGGGGUUGGGGCGGGCGAAGCAUCCCGUGCGGUGGGGUUGACCGGUGCUCACCUGGGUCGGGCGUUGAACAUUCGCUGCUAUACAUCCAAACGGAAUGAUUCCAUGGAGCGAUACGGUCCCGGAAGGUUUAGAUCUUGCUCUUGCUCUUGGGGUUGGACGGCCGGCCGUUUUCUAUGUGUGCGCCCCCGUCUUUCUUUGUUGCUUCUUUGCCUCCCUACCCUCUGUUGCAAGGAGUGUAGAUGGUAUGUAUGCCUUCGAUUCAAUUUAAGUUAACCAAAUGUGCAUUUCCAAGUGUUCCAUUAGAGUAGCAUGUGUCGUUGCUUGCUAGUGGAAGAUUAGGGCGGUGGCGGCGCUUCGGUGUCGUGUCCUGUUGGAAAUAUGAGCAAUUUACCAAAAGAUUUUAUAUUAACAGAAAUACUAGAUAAAGCAUGAUCAGAAUAGUAGUGAUAAAACAAGCCGUGUGAUUUGACAAAGAGAAGGUAAACAAUAUCUUCAUAUAUGAACUGUAACUAAACAUAUCUAGAGCAGACAGUAUAGCAAGUUGCAUAUAUGAAAAGAGUCUAACAUAUCUAGGGCAAAUACUAGAACAAGGAACUGUAGCAGGACCUCUAAUAGAAAGGAGAAGAACACGUACGGGACAGCAGCAGCAGAAGCGCUGGACUUGGGGUCGGUGUCCUCGCCUGCCGUGUCAUCGAGGAGGUCGGGGAAGAAGUCGUCGUCGGGGAAGUAGUCGUCGGCGACCGGAUCGUCUGUGAUGAAGCAGCCAGUAGUCGCGCUGAGCGCUCCCCAAAAACCUUAUCACCCUUCUCCCGUACAAGACUCAAAAGGUGCGGUUUCGGAGGCCUACUGUCCCAACGUGCGGUGCACGCCGCAAGCCGGAAGCCGGGAUGAGGAAGAUAGCAGCAGCUCAGAGAUGGAACCGAUGGCGAGGGAAGGAGUAGUUCUGGUACGUCUCUCUGGGAGGAGUGACCUCCCUUUUAUAGGCGCAAGAGAAGGAGGCGAGAGGGCAGCGAUGGGAGGCGAAACGAACAGCCAACAGCCGAAGGGCUGCACCGUUCGCAUUCGAACUCACCUUUCAUAUACCCGUAGUGCGUGGCAAAAAUCUAGACAUCGGCUCGGCUCAUUCCCGCAACCCGCGGCGCCACGUCGUGACGAGGCGUGGCGAGGCGGGCGGCGGAGGAGGAGCGCGCGUGGAUGUCCCUCUUGUUCUCAUGCUCAUACAAGUGGGGAAAGAACCUCCCUUAUAAAGAGGUCCAACUCCCUCUAAACUAGCAAUGUGGGACUAAACUUUAGUCCCACCUCUUGCCUUGCACAAAUGGGCUGCGUGGGCCUCUAGGAUUUAUUAGGAAUUUCUGAAACUGCUAUUGGGCUAGGCCUAAAAUAGACAAAAUUCCAGCAAUCCCCAACCAGAUCCCAAAGGCACACAAAAUUUGCCUUUGGUUCCAAAACACUAUUUUAUAUACCGGUACUGCAGUGAAGACUGUUAAGUUGAACUUCCACCUAGAACUCUAUGCUACACUAGUAAGCAACUUGAACAGUGGACUCGGCCUUGAACUGCAAGUUUUCUGUGAAUCUAGCUUCACAUAAAGCCUUGACCGAUACGUGGCUACCGUGGGUCUUCCCUGCAGGUGGAGCUUAUGCGUCAUACUCCGAGACCUUUCAUGAGUUUACUAGAGAGAACCCUACUCUCAUAGAUUGCGACAUUUAACAAUCAGACUCAUAUAGGUGUGUUCUUCAAAAGAUGUUCUGCGGGACAACAUCUCUGCUUAAAAGAGCCACUUAGAACACAUUAAGAUAUACAUCAACCUGCCAUGCAGAUUAGAAGAGUAUUGCAUCUUCAUGGAGUGGUAUUGUUAAUAGUAAGGAUACUCUCCUCUCAGUUGACCAACAACUUGUCUUCCACAUCUAAUUCACGGGAUCUCCGAUCACAAAGAAUAGGUUACCACUGUGAACAACUCAUAUUGUGGGUCUCAUACCCAUCUCCCUCGAUGCAUUAUCUAUCACAUUACGUGAUAGACCCUUAGUAAAAGGAUCUGCCAGAUUUUUAGACGUUUGGAUAUAAUCCAAUGCAAUAACUCUGGAGUUUUUCAUUUUCCUGACAGACUUUAACCUUCUCUGAACGUGUCUUGAUGACUUCAUGUUAUCCUUUGAGCUGCUCACUUUAGUUAUCACAGUUUGAUUGUCACAGUUCAUAAGGAUACCCGGUACAGGUUUCUCAACAACCGACAAGUCAUUCAAGAGCCGACGAAGCCAAUCUGCUUCGACCGUAGCUGUAUAUAGUGCUGUGAGUUCUGCUUCCAUUGUUGACCUCGUUAAGAUGGUCUGCUUGCAAGACUUCCAAGAAACAGCGCCACCUUCAUGAGUGAAUACGUAACCGCUCGUGGCCUUUAUCUCAUCAGUAUCUGAGAUCCAGUUUGAGUCACUAUACCCUUCAAGCACCUUUGGGUGCCCAGUGUAGUGAAUUCCAUAAUUCGCAGUGCCUUUCAAAUAACGCAAAACUCUCUCUAGAGCUUUCCAAUGCACAUCUCUUGGUUUUGAAACAAAUCGACUCAGUUUGCUAACAGCAAAAGAGAUGUUAGGUCUUGUAGCACUGGCUAAGUACAUAAGCGAGCCAAUAAUCUGAGAAUACUUCAAUUGGUCUCUAGCAAUUCUUCGAUUCUUUUGAAGCAACACACUAGCAUCAUAUGGUGUUGGAGAGGGCUUGCAGUCACUAUAGCCAAAGCGACUCAAGAUCUUUUCCACAUAGUGAGAUUGAAGCAAUGUAAUCCCACCAUCAUCGUCUCUCAACAACUUGAUGUUCAGAAUGACAUCAGCCACUCCUAAAUUCUUCAUCUCAAAACAGCGAGAUAGGAAAUCCUUGACCUCCUUAAUAACAUUUAGAUUUGUUCCGAAAAUUAGUAUGUCAUCAACAUACAAGCAAAGGAUAACUCCCUCGCCCCCACCAUGGCGAUAGUACACACAUUUGUCAGCUUCGUUUACAACAAAGCCUGCAGCUGUUAAAGUUCUUUCAAACUUCUCAUGCCACUGUUUAGGUGCUUGCUUGAGUCCAUACAAAUACUUUAACAACUCGCACACUUUUCCUUCCUGACCAUCUAGUACAAACCCAUCUGGUUGUUCCAUAUAAAUUUCCUCGUCCAACUCUCCAUUUAGGAAAGCAGUCUUAACAUCCAUUUGAUGAACGAGAAGACCAUGUGAAGCAGGUAGUGAAAGUAGAACUCGAAUAGUGGUCAGUCGAGCCACAGGUGAGUAAGUAUCAAAAAAGUCUUCUCCUUCCUUUUGGGUAUAACCCUUAGCCACGAGCCGAGCCUUGUACUUUUCAAUAGUACCAUCAGGCCUAAGCUUCUUCUUGAAUACCCAUUUGCAUCAUAUAGGUUUGCACCCAUAAGGACGAUCAGUUAUCUCCCAAGUUUCAUUCGCCAAGAUGGAAUCCAUCUCGCUACGAACCGCUUCCUUCCAGUAGUCAGCAUCUUCAGAUGCAUAAGCCUCUGAAAUAGAACUGGGAGUGUCAUCUAUGAGAUACACAAGAAAAUCAUCACCAAAGGACUUUGCAGUCCUCUGUCUCUUGCUCCUAGUAGGAACUUCAUUGUUCUCCUCCACAGGACUUUCAAAGUGUUCCAUCGAAAUGGCAGGUUCAGUAAUUGUAACUAGUUCCUGAUUCGAUGAACUAGGCAUCUCCUGAUUAGAUGAGGUAGCCAUAUCCUUCAUGGGAAAGAUAUCUUCAAAGAAAGUCGCAUCAUUCGACUCCAUGAUCGUACCGACAUGCAUGUCAGGUACCUCAUAUUUUAGAACCAAGAAUCUAUAGCCAAUGCUAUGAAAAGCAUAUCCCAGGAAAACACAAUCCACAGUCUUUGGUCCAAGCUUCCGCUUCUUUGGAAUUGGAACAUUGACUUUCGCCAAACAACCCCAUGUUCGCAGAUAAGAGAGUUAAACCUUUUCUUCUCCCAUUCCUCGAAUGGAGUUAUCUCUUUGUUCUUUGUGGGGACUUAGUUUAGGACAUGACAUGCUGUCAAUAUCGCCUCCCCCACCAUGCCUUGGAGAGACCUGAUGUGUCUAACAUGGCGUUAACCAAAUCAGUUAGAGUAUCAUUCUUUUUUUCGGCCACCCCAUUUGACUGAGGUGAGUAGGGAGGCGUCCUCUCAUGGAUUAUACCAUGUUCCGCACAAAAAGCAUCAAAUUCAUUGGAAAAAUACUCUCCACCACGGUCGGACCUAAGCCUCUUGAUUUUUCGAUCAAGUUGGUUUUCCACUUCAGCUUUAUAGAUCUUGAAAAAGUUCAAAGCCUCAUCCUUAGAUUUCAGAAGAUACACACGACAGUAUCUAGUGGAGUCGUCAAUUAACGUCAUGAAAUAUUUCUUUCCACCUUUUGUCAAAACACCAUUCAUUUCACAUAGAUCUGAAUGUAUGAGCUCUAGUGGUGCAAGAUUUCUCGUUUCCGCAGUCGUGUGAGACUUACGAGGUUGCUUAGCUUGCACACACACUUGACACUUAGAUCCCUUGACCGUGGUGAAACUAGGGAUUAAGUUCAACUUUGCUAGUCGCGACAUGCAACCAAAGUUAACAUGACAAAGACGUGAAUGCCACACAUUUGAUUCACUAUUGGUGCAAACAUGAUUAACAACUUUAUUGCAAACGUCUGAUAAGGAUAAACGAAACAUGCCUCCUGACUCAUAGCCUUUACCAACAAAGGUUCCAUACUUGGAUAUUACAAAUUUAUUCGACUCAAAGACAAGCUUGUAGCCAUCUCUACACAGAAGAGAUCCGCUAACAAGAUUUUUAUUGACGGAGGGGACAUAAUGCACGUUCUUCAGCCGCACGAUCUUCACCGAAGUAAACUUCAGAUCGACCAUGCCAACACCACGAAUAGAAGCACUUGAACCGUUGCCCAUCAGCACGGUUGAAGUCCCUGCGGUCUGAUAAGACGAAAACAUGGAAAUAUCACCGCAUACAUGCACAUUAGCACCCGUGUCAAUCAACCAAUCAGGAGAAUGACAUACUGAAAGAAUAGUGGGAAAUAUACCAUACCCAGCAUCCUUCAUGUCAGUGUCUCCAAUGACAACAUUAGCGGUCUUGCCGCCUUUCCCAGGAUGACGCUUGUCAUAGCGAUUAGGGCAACUAGGUGCCCAAUGAUCAGGAUCCCCACACACAUGACAGACACCUUUCUUCUUGUCAUUCUUCUUCUUGAAGUUCUUGUGCUGGACAGCCUUGUUCUUCCCAUCAAACCUUGCUUUACCAUCAAACUUGCCCUUGUUCUUGAACUUGUGGGGCUGGAAGUUCUGCUUCUGUACCACAUUGGCACUAGAUCCUCCCUCAAUACCUCGAGCACGUGUGUCCUUUGCACUCGCCUUUUCUUCCACAUCAAGAGUGCCAAUGAGAUCCGGGACGGAAAAGUCCUGCCUCUUAUGCUUCAGCAAGGUAGCAAAGUUCCUCCAUGAAGGAGGAAGCUUAGUGAUGAUACCUCCGGCAACAAACUUGUCCGGUAGCAUACAACUGAAGUGCUCAAGUUCUCUAGCAAAUGACUGUAUCUCAUGAGCUUGCUCAACCACGGAGCGCUCUUCAGUCAUCCUAUAAUCAUAGAAUUGCUCCAUGAUGUACAGCUCAGUGCCAGCAUCCGAGACCCCAAACUUGGCCUCGAGUGCAUCCCACAUAUCUUUUCCAUUAUCAAUUGACGCAUAAGCAUCAACUAUGUUCUCACCAAGAACACUCAAGAGAGCAGCCUUACACAGAGUAUCCAUUUUCUGAAAGGCUUGUGCCUGUUGAGCAUCAAGCUCUCCUUCAGGUUUGCCAAGGGUGGCGUCAUAACAACUCAUGGUUUGAAACCAUAAGACUGCUCUCACGCGCCACCUCUUAUAGUGGAUACCCUCAAACAUAGGAGGUCUCAUGGAAGCAGCAAAACCACUCAGGGUAAAUUGCCUAUAAUAAGGUUUUUGGAUUGUUGGAAAUAUGAGCAAUUUACCGAAAGAUUUUAUUAACAGAAAUACUAGAUAAAGCAUGACCAGAAUAGUAGUGAUAAAACAAGCCAUGCGAUUUGACAAAGAGAAGGUAAACAACAUC
rnacentral:lncRNA from 1 species